GGGGUUCCUGGCGCAUUUGUGAUUUCACUCUAAAUAGGAAGGAAUCGCCGCUGGAUUGUUACACAACUGUUGCACCAGUGAAGGAUGUCUGUGUGCCACCUUGCAUUCAGUUUCUCAGCCAUGGGGGCCUGCUUGCAACACCAGUGGAAAAGCAGUCUUGCAUUGGUGCUAUUUGUUCUGGAAGGACACAAGCAUUGAGGAGCCAUUUGACCUGCCACAACACUGUUAUUGUAUUUGGCAAAGCAGGAGGCAUGUGCAAGCAACUAGUCAUUCCGAUUCUCAACCAAUCCUUCUUCUAGUCAGGCCAUUUCUAGUGUCUUAUCUUGCAAGUUCUUUUUUUCAGUAAAGCACAAUAAACAUGCAGUUUCGUUCAGAUUCAGGUGGCUUGUUGCUUUUUGGGCACGAAUUUGUAUGUAUGCUUUGUACACGUCAUGUACAGAACUCAAAUGCAACAUGGCAACACUGACACGAAAAUGACGCGGUGUAAAAGACAGUUACCCAAGGAGGAAACGUGCACACACAGCAUGUUGAGCGUGGUGUAUGUCCGCUUAUGUGCAUUGAUUUCUGCCCCAUUUCAAGCUAUAUCUGAUGCGAGUUAGCCAUGUUGUUAUGUACAACUUGGUAUAACUUAUUUCAAUGAAACAAACAAUUUUCUCAUUGUCUGGACAUAUACACCCGCAUCAUCAUUUACGAAACAAAUUUUCAGCUGUUGAUACGAAGCAAGAUAAAGCUGAAUAAGUUCGUACGGAUUCAUGGUGCCAGGAACGCAAGCAUAGAAAACAUGGACACAAGAACAAAAAAAAGGUGCUUCUGUCUUCCUUUUUGUUCUUUUUGUGUGUUUUAUGUGCAUACCUUUCCUCGCCAUGGUCUAUCCGUUUUUAAUUAGGAAAGUACGGGGCUCAAUUUACAGAAUUUCCGUUCUACGGAGCUCACCGUUUUGUAUUUGGAAAAUACAGACAAUUCUGUGAUCACAACUACGGAAAUCACCAUUUUCCAUUCGACGGAAAUCACCGUUUUCCAUUCAACAGAACUCUCCGUUUUCCAUUUGACGGAACUCUCCGUUUUCCAUUUGACGGAACUCUCCGUUUUCCAUUUGACGGAACUCUCCGUUUUUCAUUUGACGGAACUCUCCGUUUUUCAUUCGACGGAAAAAAUUUUUACAGACUGUCCGUUUUACGGAAACUCCGUUUUUCAUUUACGGAAAGUGUCCGGCAACUUUUUACCUUCAACUUUCACCGUAAACUGAAGCAAUUUUUUUUUACA